rnacentral:rRNA from 1 species
UGAGGAAUAUUGCGCAAUGGGCGAAAGCCUGACGCAGCGACGCCGCGUGGAGGAUGAAGGUCUUAGGAUUGUAAACUUCUGUUAAGCGGGAAGAAAGACGAAGUGUUAAUACCACUUUAUGAUGACGGUACCGCUAAAGAAAGCACCGGCUAACUUCGUGCCAGCAGCCGCGGUAAUACGAAGGGUGCGAACGUUAUUCGGAUUUACUGGGCGUAAAGGGCGCGUAGGCGGCAAUUCAAGUCAUCUGUGAAAUCUCCAGGCUUAACUCGGAACGGUCAGAUGAUACUGCUUUGCUAGAGUGCAGAAGGGGCAAUCGGAAUUCUUGGUGUAGCGGUGAAAUGCGUAGAUAUCAAGAGGAACACCUGAGGUGAAGACGGGUUGCUGGGCUGACACUGACGCUGAGGCGCGAAAGCCAGGGGAGCAAACGGGAUUAGAUACCCGUGUAGUCCCUGAGCGGGCUGGCAAGGCGCAU